CAGCCGCCACGGUAAUACGUAGGGUGCAAGCGUUAAUCGGAAUUACUGGGCGUAAAGCGUGCGCAGGCGGUCCGCUAAGACAGAUGUGAAAUCCCCGGGCUUAACCUGGGAACUGCAUUUGUGACUGGCGGGCUAGAGUAUGGCAGAGGGGGGUAGAAUUCCACGUGUAGCAGUGAAAUGCGUAGAGAUGUGGAGGAAUACCGAUGGCGAAGGCAGCCCCCUGGGCCAAUACUGACGCUCAUGCACGAAAGCGUGGGGAGCAAACAGGAUUAGAUACCCCUGUAGUCCCUGUCUCUUAUAC
rnacentral:rRNA from 1 species